rnacentral:rRNA from 1 species
GACGAACGCUGGCGGCGUGCUUAACACAUGCAAGUCGAACGGAAAGGCCUGCUUUCCCUUGUGGAUUGCGGGUGCUCGAGUGGCGAACGGGUGAGUAACACGUGAGUGAUCUGCCCCCAACUUGGGUAUAAGCCUGGGAAACUGGGUCUAAUUCCCGAUAGGACUGCAGGGUGGUGCCUGUGGUGGAAAACGAUUUUCUAGUGGUUGGGGAUGAGCUCGCGGCCUAUCAGCUUGUUGGUGGGGUAAUGGCCUACCAAGGCGGCGACGGGUAGCCGGCCUGAGAGGGUGGACGGCCACAUUGGGACGGAGAUACGGCCCAGACUCCUACGGGAGGCAGCAGUGGGGAAUAGUGCACAAUGGGCGGAAGCCUGAUGCAGCGACGCCGCGUGGGGGAUGACGGCCUUCGGGUUGUAAACUCCUUUCGACCGCGAGGAAGCCACCUGGUUGGAAGGGUGGUGACGGUAGUGGUAGAAGAAGCACCGGCUAACUACGUG